GAUGAACGCUGGCGGCGUGCCUAAUACAUGCAAGUCGAGCGAACGGACGAGAAGCUUGCUUCUCUGAUGUUUGCGGCAGACGGGUGAAUACCCGUGGUUAACCUACCUAUAAUUCUGGGAUACCUUCGGGAAACCGGGCCUAAUACCGGAUAAUGUUUUGAACCCCAUGGUUCGGUAGUGAAAGACGGUCUUGCGGUCACUUAUAGAUGGAUCCGCGCUGCAUUAGCUAGUUGGUAAGGUAACGGCUUACCAAGGCAACGAUGCAUAGCCGAACUGAGAGGGUGAUCGGCCACACUGGAACUGAGACACGGUCCAGACUCCUACGGGAGGCAGCAGUAGGGAAUCUUCCGCAAUGGGCGAAAGCCUGACGGAGCAACGCCGCGUGAGUGAUGAAGGUCUUCGGAUCGUAAAACUCUGUUAUUAGGGAAGAACAUAUGUGUAAGUAACUGUGCACAUCUUGACGGUACCUAAUCAGAAAGCCACGGCUAACUACGUG
rnacentral:rRNA from 1 species